GACGUAGGGCGCGAGCGUUGUCCGGAUUUAUUGGGCGUAAAGAGCUCGUAGGCGGCUUGUCACGUCGAAUGUGAAAUCUCAGGGCUCAACUCUGACAUUGCAUUCGAUACGGGCAGGCUAGAGUUCGGUAGGGGAGACUGGAAUUCCUGGUGUAGCGGUGAAAUGCGCAGAUAUCAGGAGGAGCACCGGUGGCGAAGGCAGGUCUCUGGGCCGAUACUGACGCUGAGGAGCGAAAGCGUGGGGAGCGAACAGG
rnacentral:rRNA from 1 species